ensembl:lncRNA
CAGGACAUAGAUUAGAUGUAAGAAUGCUAGCGGCCUCCAGAUCUCUCACAGACCUGACAUCCUGAAGGAGCUUGCAGCAUGUGUUCCCAGCUGCCCUUCCCAAAGAGGCUAAACCCACAGUGACAGCCUAUGUGGAACACCAUUUUCAUGUCCCACUGUUGCUCUUUUCUAUAAGCAGUACCUGUGAGAAAGUAGCUCUCUGCUUUUAUUUUGGUUCUCUCAUAUAAGAAUGCUCCACACAGGAAGUACACGGGAAAAGAAGCAAAUCCAACACGAAAAAGACACAUGCAAAUACAAGUGAAUUGGCUUAGAGAAAGAAUUGUUACCAAGGUCCACUGUUGGAAAUACAUCUGAAAGAGAUAACCUUGGAAGCUGGUCACCUGAACACAGUGAGAAAAAGGGUGUGAGAAAGGAAGGACCUGAUCAUCCAUCAGAUGGAAUCCAGACGUGACAAUUAGAGUUAAUGAACCAUGACCCAAGAAGCAGUUUCUGCACUUUACAAUCCUACUUCAUGGCCUCAGUAAAACUUUCAGGGCUUUUUUUUUUUUUCCCACAGAACACAUCUGCUCCAAAUUCUAAAGGGAGAAACUGGUUUCAGAAGUUACAUUUGGUUUCUUCCCUACUUUUCAGUCAUGUAUGAGGUAAAUGUAAGAACUUUGUUAACUAAAAAUCAGAAGAUACAGCUUCUACGAUGAGACUAUAUAGUAUUAUUAUAGUAGCUAUUUAAUUUAUAUUAAAAUUAAUGAACUGAUAAAGAUGACUGGAAAACACCAAGCAAAUAUUUUCAAAACAACCAGUAUAAUGGCUUCUAUGUUUAAAUACUGGUUUUGGCCUCAGAUAGCUAAGAGAAUGCCUCAAAAAGGGGGGGAAAAAAAAAAGUUGAUUAAUACCUAAGUCUCCUAUCAUUUCUUCACAGAGUAGGUAUAGCUAAUGAAGCAGUGUCUCUUUUUCCCCAAAGUCCAGAAGAUCUACUGAACUUCUAAUCCUGAGGUGGAAUUGAUCUUUCUUUCCCUACGAGCAAAGUAUUCCUGCAGUCAGAGCCUCUCAAUAGUUUCUCAGAAUCACAAAAAUUCAUCCAUUUGGUCUUCUGCUACUAUUUGGAAUGAAGGAUUGAAAUAGGGCCAAACAACUCUUGGUGGUUUUCUUCCCAUACCAGACACACCUUUUCUUGGCCUCCUCCAAAGAUGUGUUACCAAAACCAUAACAAUUCACUAUGAAAUCUGCUACCUAAAUUACAAUUGCUUUUUGGUUACAGUAGUGAAUUCUAAAAAAGCUUUUCCAGCAGCCCUGGUCAGAAAUCCACAAAGGAUACCUAGUGCAGAGCAGGAAGAUCUCAAGAGUUUGGAGAUAAUGUUUCACAGUCAGCUUACACUCCAGUUCCCUCUUCUCAUUGAGUUAGGAAGUGAUUGGUUGCAUCCUGCUUCUGGAGAAGACAAAGGUAUUUCAGCCAUUGGUACUCCAAACUCAAAGAAGACCAUUAUUAAGAAAUGAAAGUCCAACUUGGUCUUGUACAUGGAAAUGUCUGCAGUACUUCCAAGACUUCUUCAAGAGUCAAUGGGUCUCAUAGGAAUGGCUCACAGAGCUUUUUUUCUUACUGACACUGUCCUCAUACAUUCCAAUUUUUACAGUUAGUAUGGCAUUCUCUUCAGUGAAACUUGAGCGCACACACUCACGCUGUGUCAUGAGAAUUUUCUAGUCCUAUCACUGAAUUCCUUUCUUAUAGCUUAUAGUAAAAUCAUUUCCAAAGGAGGAGAAGAGAACAUUGCUGUUUUCUGUUCUAAUAUGAGCAUGUGAAUAAAUUAAAUGAUAUUUACAUCUUUAUAUAAGGAGCUUCACAAUUUUUCAAUAUAAAAAAAAUAAA